CAGUAGCCGCGGUAAUACGUAGGGUGCGAGCGUUAAUCGGAAUUACUGGGCGUAAAGCGUGCGCAGGCGGUUCGUUAAGACAGAUGUGAAAUCCCCGGGCUUAACCUGGGAACUGCAUUUGUGACUGACGGGCUAGAGUAUGGCAGAGGGGGGUAGAAUUCCACGUGUAGCAGUGAAAUGCGUAGAGAUGUGGAGGAAUACCGAUGGCGAAGGCAGCCCCCUGGGCCAAUACUGACGCUCAUGCACGAAAGCGUGGGGAGCAAACAGGAUUAGAUACCCCUGUAGUCCCUGUCUCUUAUAA
rnacentral:rRNA from 1 species